UAUGAGCAGGCCAACUGCAAGGUUGGGGCCACCAGGAAAUGACAAGUGGUAGGCCCAGUCUUUCCAGGCUGGGGCACAUCCCCGCAGCUGUGAUGAAUAAGCUCAGCCUCCUUUGGUCAGAACCAACCUGUCAGUCCUUGAUAAAGAACUCACCAAACAUUGUGCUAAUAUGAACAAGGAUAAACGGGAUAGGGUUUCAGCUCCAUUUGCAACACACUGCCUGGGAGUAAUCUGAACAGGCAAGGUGAGGAGACAGGCCCCGAAGAACAGCAGUGCCCUGCAUGCCCUUCCUGCUGUCUCCAGGGAUUUUCCAGCUUAUCCACUUCAUUUUCUGAAAGUAAUCAGCCCUGAAUAUCUCGGCAACAAGGCACUCCUUGGGGAAGUAAUGACUGGGAGGCAGUCUGGUGAAUCCACUCUUCUCAAGCCCAGAGCAGACAUCAGGGGGCCACACGGAUGGACCUUGAAAGCCAUUUGGAGAAGUUGGGUGUGUGUUACUUAGGAUCAACAUGCUUGCUUAAGGGAGAAGCCCUGGCAGAGGGAGAUGCUUCUUUUGGGCCUCCCAGCAUUAAAAAGGGGAUUCUUCUUGAUGCAGUCUACCUAUGUGGCCCAGUAAAUGAAGGCAGGGCAAAGCCAACUUCCUGAGAAGACCCAAAAUAAGAUGGAUGUCCGUGACUGUGCCUUGAUCUCAUGUCAUUCCCUCUUAUGCAAGAGGGAAGUGCUGUCCAGAUGCCUUCAGACACCAGGCAACACCCUACCUUCUCCCCUUCUGCGGUUGAAAUGUUGCGAACUCCUACUGUCAUUCAGCAUUCCCCCCUGGAGCCAGAGUGGUCCAGUUCAAACCUAAGCUCCAUUUUCUUUAUGUGUCUGACUCCCCAGCCGAACUCCAAGCCCUUAGAAGGAACUGACUACAUUCCAUUCUUCUUUGAAUCCCCUGUAGCGAGCACAGUGCCUGGCACAGGGGGGAUCCUCAAUAAACACCUAGUGACUGAGUAACUAGGAAGCUAAGAGCCUCAACUCUGGAAUCAAGCUGCCUGGAUUUGAAUCUUGAUCCUACUAUGUAUUGACUAUGUGACCUUGGGCAAGUUUCCUAACUUCUCUGUGUCUCAAUUUCUUCAUCUUUAAGAAAGGAUAAUAGCACUUGUCUCCUAGAAUGGAUGUGAGGGUGAAAUGAGUCCACGUAUGUAUAAUGUUGAGAAUGGUGACUGGCACGGAGACGGUGCUCAAUAAAAGUCAGCAAUUAGUACUUUGAGCA
rnacentral:lncRNA from 1 species